rnacentral:rRNA from 1 species
GACGAACGCUGGCGGCGUGCUUAACACAUGCCAGUCGAACGGAAAGGCCCUGCUUUUGUGGGGUGCUCGAGUGGCGAACGGGUGAGUAACACGUGAGUAACCUGCCCUUGACUUUGGGAUAACUUCAGGAAACUGGGGCUAAUACCGGAUAGGAGCUCCUGCUGCAUGGUGGGGGUUGGAAAGUUUCGGCGGUUGGGGAUGGACUCGCGGCUUAUCAGCUUGUUGGUGGGGGAGUGGCUUACCAAGGCUUUGACGGGUAGCCGGCCUGGGAGGGUGACCGGCCACAUUGGGACUGAGAUACGGCCCAGACUCCUACGGGAGGCAGCAGUGGGGAAUAUUGCACAAUGGGCGGAAGCCUGAUGCAGCAACGCCGCGUGCGGGAUGACGGCCUUCGGGUUGUAAACCGCUUUCGCCUGUGACGAAGCGUGAGUGACGGUAAUGGGUAAAGAAGCACCGGCUAACUACGUG